AUUACCUGCUUGCCUUUUUUUUUUUUUUUCUUUCUUUCUUUUAAUUGUAAUUCUCUGACCCUUUUGGAUUAACAAGGGAUGUCCCCGUAUUCAAGCAAGGCUACAUUCCCAUAUUUAAUGGGCAAUUAGUGGAUUCGACAUCAGACACGGACAAAUGAGGUCCAGCCAGAGCUUCUACAAGGGACCUUCAAGUGCUUGGAAUGCAGUUUUGUCAUCAGGAACGUCGAACAACAGGCAAACCAAUCUCAGUUUUGGAUGGAGUUUCAAUUGCUGUCAUGGAUGGGAUAGAUUGCAUGCCCUAUCCAACAAAGGUAUCAGAGUUUCAAUUGCUGUCAAGGAUGAGAUAGAUUGCAUGCCCUAUCCAACAAAGGUAUCGGACGGAUUCCUUCCCUUUUCUAGAGUUUGAUUGGAUGGUGCGGAGUUCUACGGGAGCAAUGGUGGAGACGUAAGAGGUGCAACUGCAGCAUUCCCUAAGUUGGAGACACCCAUUUACUUGUGCUAAUCUAAAUGUGCCUUCUCAAAAUAUGACAUCUCUAUGCUUUAAAAUAGACAACAGAAAGAUGUUGUGAAUGAUGGCAAUCAAUACUUCUCCAGUAUCCUUCCAUGAACAUUGAAAAGUCAUCACAUGCUUGUAUUUAUGAAUACUUUUUUUGUUUUACCUCUGUAAUGUCCUUGAAUGAUUAAAGAUGCAUGGGUUAGUCAAGAUGAUUUGAGACGCAAACUCAUGCACAAAAACUUACCUAGGAGAACCCGGAGUGAUGGUGAAGAACGUGAUUGUGUAGACCUUCGUGAAAAGCUCUCACAGAUGGUUCAUGCUCCGUCAAGAAUUGAUGCAACAACGCAUGCCUGAACCUCAUAAGAGACAAUACUUGGAUAACUGUGAAGAUCCCUGUUUCUGUGCAACAGAGCUAGAUCUCAUAUUUCAUGUACUCUUUAAAAAGUAAGAAAAAUAGCUCCAAUACAUAAAUUGCACUAGUGGCCAAAUCUUAUCGAAUCAUAAGUUGUAAGAUUCAAUUUGAUUAUUUGUAAAAAGCCAAUUAAUUUUAAAGAUCAUAAACUCAACAUGGAAUACUAUGAAGUAUUAACAUUUCCAUACUGCUCGUAUGCAUGUCUGGUAUAAAUGCUAU